rnacentral:lncRNA from 1 species
GCUGGUGCAAAAGGAACGCGCGUUUGCAGGAGGAGGAGGAGUAAAGCGGUGAUUGUGUAAUUAAAUAAUAAAACAAUCCUUAAGUCUGA